rnacentral:rRNA from 1 species
CGUAGGGUGCAAGCGUCAAUCGGAAUUACUGGGCGUAAAGCGUGCGCAGGCGGUGAUGUAAGACAGAUGUGAAAUCCCCGGGCUCAACCUGGGAACUGCAUUUGUGACUGCAUUGCUGGAGUGCGGCAGAGGGGGAUGGAAUUCCGCGUGUAGCAGUGAAAUGCGUAGAUAUGCGGAGGAACACCGAUGGCGAAGGCAAUCCCCUGGGCCUGCACUGACGCUCAUGCACGAAAGCGUGGGGAGCAAACAGGAUUAGAUACCCUGGUAGUCCACGCCCUAAACGAUGUCAACUGGUUGUUGGUCCUUUGCUGGAUCAGUAACGAAGCUAACGCGUGAAGUUGACCGCCUGGGGAGUACGGCCGCAAGGUUG